AGUUCAUCAAGCGACACAUGACGCGGCUGCUCAAGGCAGAUAAGCUCGCCAUGCUAGCCGAUCUAGGGUGCCAGGAGUAGGCCGGCCUGUCAGGCGAGGAUUGGCAUGUGGCACCAAGGCUGCACCCAUGACGGGUUAUGUGCGUGGACAUCCCCUUCAUCCCCGUUCCUUUUAACUUUGAUGACACCAUGUCGGAAUUCUUCCAAACCACCUCCGGUGGCUGUCUGGUGCAAUGCUGUGGUACCCUGCGACCACGGCUUGCUUCUGUUGUGGUCGCAAGUACCAUAUAUCUGGAAGCACCACUGUCAACACGGAGAACAUGUCCGUUAGCUGCUCUGCUAAGCUGAUUGUUCCAUCAGUCGGCUCUAUCCUCCAAUGGUUGUGCCCAACCGAAGAAUUGCCGGCGCCUAAUUGAGCAACGUGGAGAUGGAGUUCCUGGAGGGAAAGCAGGGUGUGCUAGAUCAACUUGUGUAAUUGUUACUGCUCCUUCAGGUCUUAACUUUUUUUCUUUUUUUAUGGUGGUGUGUUGCAAAGUGGAAGGGAGUCAGAGACGUAAAAGAAGUACAUAGCAUGAGUAAGAAUGGAUGGGUGUGCUCUGACUGCUGAUUGAAUCUGAAGUAAGAGCUGACUAUUUUGUUUUAUCAUCAAGGAUUGUGUAUGUCAAUACGAACAAUACAAUGAACUAUUGUUCCGUGCA